UACGUAGGGCGCGAGCGUUGUCCGGAAUUAUUGGGCGUAAAGAGCUCGUAGGCGGUCUGUCGCGUCUGCUGUGAAAACUCAGGGCUUAACCCUGAGCUUGCAGUGGGUACGGGCAGACUAGAGUGCGGUAGGGGAGACUGGAAUUCCUGGUAUAGCGGUGAAAUGCGCAGAUAUCAGGAGGAACACCGGUGGCGAAGGCGGCAUCCUGGACCGGUAUUGACGCUGAGGCGCGAAAGCUAGGGGAGCAAACGGG
rnacentral:rRNA from 1 species